UACGUAGGUGGCAAGCGUUGUCCGGAAUUAUUGGGCGUAAAGCGCGCGCAGGCGGUUACUCAAGUCGGAUGUGAAAGCCCUCGGCUUAACUGAGGAAGUGCACCCGAAACUGAGUAGCUAGAGUACUAAAGAGGGUCGCGGAAUUCCCGGUGUAGAGGUGAAAUUCGUAGAUAUCGGGAGGAACACCGGUGGCGAAGGCGGCGACCUGGGUAGAUACUGACGCUGAGGCGCGAAAGCGUGGGGAGCAAACAGG
rnacentral:rRNA from 1 species